AGUCGAACGGAGAAUGCAAGACAGAAGCCUUCGGGCGGAAGACCUGUAUUCUUAGUGGCGGACGGGUGAGUAACACGUGAGCAACCUACCUUCAAGAGGGGGAUAGCACCUGGAAACGGGUGGUAAUACCGCAUAAGACCACGGAGCCGCAUGGCUUUGGGGUCAAAGGAGCAAUCCGCUUGAAGAUGGGCUCGCGUCCGAUUAGAUAGUUGGUGAGGUAACGGCUCACCAAGUCGACGAUCGGUAGCCGGACUGAGAGGUUGAACGGCCACAUUGGGACUGAGACACGGCCCAGACUCCUACGGGAGGCAGCAGUGGGGGAUAUUGCACAAUGGGCGAAAGCCUGAUGCAGCGACGCCGCGUGGGGGAAGACGGCCUUCGGGUUGUAAACCUCUGUCAUUCGGGACGAAUCAGAUGACGGUACCGAAGAAGGAAGCUCCGGCUAACUACGUGCCAGCAGCCGCGGUAAUACGUAGGGAGCGAGCGUUGUCCGGAAUUACUGGGUGUAAAGGGAGCGUAGGCGGGAAAGCAAGUUGGAAGUGAAAUACAUGGGCUCAACCCAUGAGCUGCUUUCAAAACUGUUUUUCUUGAGUGAAGUAGAGGCAGGCGGAAUUCCUAGUGUAGCGGUGAAAUGCGUAGAUAUUAGGAGGAACACCAGUGGCGAAGGCGGCCUGCUGGGCUUUAACUGACGCUGAGGCUCGAGAGCGUGGGUAGCAAACAGGAUUAGGUACCCUGGUAGUCCACGCUGUAAACGAUGAUUACUAGGUGUGGGGGAUUUCGGUCCUCCGUGCCGGAGCAAACGCAAUAAGUAAUCCACCUGGGGAGUACGGCCGCAAGGCUGAAACUCAAAGGAAUUGACGGGGGCCCGCACAAGCAGUGGA
rnacentral:rRNA from 1 species